rnacentral:rRNA from 1 species
UACGGAGGGUGCAAGCGUUAUCCGGAUUCACUGGGUUUAAAGGGUGCGUAGGAGGACAGGUAAGUCAGUGGUGAAACCUCCGAGCUUAACUUGGAAACUGCCGUUGAUACUAUCUGCCUUGAAUAUUGUGGAGGUGAGCGGAAUAUGUCAUGUAGCGGUGAAAUGCUUAGAUAUGACAUAGAACACCAAUUGCGAAGGCAGCUCGCUACACAUAUAUUGACUCUGAGGCACGAAAGCGUGGGGAUCAAACAGG